rnacentral:rRNA from 1 species
GGACCCGCACAAGCAGUGGAGCAUGUGGUUUAAUUCGACGCAACGCGAAGAACCUUACCAGCGUUUGACAUGAGAAGUGCCGGUUACAGAAUGGUAACCUUCAGUUCGGCUGGCUUCUACACAGGUGCUGCAUGGCUGUCGUCAGCUCGUGUCGUGAGAUGUUGGUUAAGUCCCGCAACGAGCGCAACCCUUAUCGUUAGUUACUAACAGUUCGGCUGAGGACUCUAGCGAAACUGCCGGUGAUAAGCCGGAGGAAGGUGGGGAUGACGUCAAGUCCUCAUGGCCCUUACACGCUGGGCUACACACGUGCUACAAUGGGGAAUACAGACGGACGCUAAGCCGCGAGGUGGUGCUAA